rnacentral:rRNA from 1 species
GAGAGAGUUCAAGAGUACGUGAAACCGUUCAGGGGUAAACGGGAGAGAUCCUGAAUUCCAAAGGGGUCUCGGAUUCAACGACCACCCGGAGCCGGGCGCGGCCCCGCCUGACGGCGUCGGACGCCCGCGGCGAUUAACCUCGCUCGCGGUGUCGUUCUCCGGCGAUCGCACGGCGAGCAGGUCGUGGCAAGUCCCGAGCUUCGGGGGCGUGCACUUCCCCCCUGGAGAAGUGUCGCGACCCGUUGGGUGCCGGUCAGAGGGCCCGGUCAAGGUUGUCCUCGCGCGGCCGCGGCCGAGCGGGGAGCCUCCGGUGUUUUUCCCGGCCGGCUGCCCGACGGUACGACCAGAGGAGCAGAUCCGCUCGGAGAGCGUCCGGCCCGGUAGCGGACGGGCGCGGGGUGCGCGGUUCCGCGGGAGGAACUCGCGCGGGGACACGUGCGUGGCACGGUCUCGCCCCCGCCGUCCCGUCCGACUCCGGAGUCCUCGGACAGGAUCCUGAUCCCGUCGGCGACGCCCUUCUUCGGAUCGUCUC